GAUGAACGCUGCGGCGUGCCUAAUACCUGCAGGUCGAGCGAACAGACGAGGAGCUUGCUCCUCUGACGUUAGCGGCGGACGGGUGAGUAACACGUGGAUAACCUACCUAUAAGACUGGGAUAACUUCGGGAAACCGGAGCUAAUACCGGAUAAUAUAUUGAACCGCAUGGUUCAAUAGUGAAAGACGGUUUUGCUGUCACUUAUAGAUGGAUCCGCGCCGCAUUAGCUAGUUGGUAAGGUAACGGCUUACCAAGGCAACGAUGCGUAGCCGACCUGAGAGGGUGAUCGGCCACACUGGAACUGAGACACGGUCCAGACUCCUACGGGAGGCAGCAGUAGGGAAUCUUCCGCAAUGGGCGAAAGCUUGACGGAGCAACGCCGCGUGAGUGAUGAAGGUCUUCGGAUCGUAAAACUCUGUUAUUAGGGAAGAACAAAUGUGUAAGUAACUAUGCACGUCUUGACGGUACCUAAUCAGAAAGCCACGGCUAACUACGUG
rnacentral:rRNA from 1 species